UAAUCUCCCAAACUACAGACAGUUACAGGACAGCCAGGGCUAUUACACAGAGAAACCCUGUCUUGAAAAAUCAACCAAACUAAACCAAACCCAAAAAAUGUUUUAAAUUUGUAGCUCUGGUUUGAAUGGCCAAAUUUAAAUGUACUGUUUACAUCUUUAGAUGCUCCAGAUACUUCAUGGCAAUGCCUGCCAGACUGAAUUCUCAGAAGGCCAGAUGGACCCUGAACCUCAUUAUUCUGCUUCUCCUUCUAUAAAUUAAAGAGCCAAAGGUUUCUCCAGAGAACUGCACUGUGCCUCCAGAGCUGAUGAGACAGAAGGAAGAGCCGGUGGCGGUGUGAAUGUGUAAAGGCAUCCAGAAGCCAGUCAACAUUUAUUGGAAUCUCCUAUUGCUAUCCAGAUCUCCCUAAGUGUGAAAACACCCUUAUAAAAGGAAGAAGAGGAAGAGGAGGAAGAGGAAGAAGAAAGGAUGGUUUUUCCUAGAUCUCUCACAGAUCGAG